AAAAAACCCUAUCGUCAUCCUACCCCCCGCACAUCGCUACCCUAUGCCGCCGUCAUCAUCGCCGAGGGGAUCCCCAGUCCCCGACCGCGGCCACCCGAUCCCAUGCCUGACCUUGGCGGCGCCGACACGUCCCCGAUCGCGGUCGCCCCGCUCCCUCCAGAUUGCGGCAGGACCGCCUCGUCCCCGACCGCGGCCGCGUCACCCUGUCAAAGAACGGUGACGCCUCACCCCGUCCCCGACCACGGCCGCCUCGCGUCGAGGAGAAGUAGGUGGUCGGCCUACGGCGGCUCGAACCAUCGCCAUGGCGUCGUCCUCCUCCAAAGCCUCCUCCCACCGGGAUGGCCCCAUGAUCAGUGGCUCGACGUGGGCACCUCCGCGCUCAUGGCGCUCCACGGGAAGCUGACGCAGAUGAAGCGCCAAAUCCAGCAGGCCCGCCUCACCUCCAUGAGGAUAAAGCAUCGGCAUCAUCUACGGAAUUCCUUGUGAAUUGUGAGUUUCGGGUCACUCAAUGUGAUCCUCCUGUUUUGAGCUUGUGUGCCUAUGUUGUGUUUUGACAGGAGAAGCUGGAGGCAAACAGGAGGGCGUUGCAGAAGCACACCGGCGGCCUGUUCGAUGUGGCUGCCAAGGCGGAGGCGGCGUUGAGGGGCUCGGAGAGCAGCAAUGUGCUGUCGCAGCUCGCCUCGGACGGCCAGUCCAGGAUCGUUGGGUGGAACCUGGCGAGAGGGUCGGGGGAGAGGAAGGUUGUGCAUGUGCAGGAGGAGAACCUGUCGGCCGACGGGAUGCUCGUGCUCUGCAGCUCCGGCAACGGCGCACAAACCAUCGUUUUGUAGAUUAUGAAGCUGUCGUCGGUUGAUAAGAUUCCUCCCUACACCACGUGGAUCUUCCUGGACAAAAACCAAAGAAUGGCCGAUGAUCAAUCAAUUGCUGGUAGGAGGAGAAUUUACUAUGAUUCAGCUCGCAACGAGGCUCUAAUCUGGAGUGAAAGUGAUGAACAAAUUGCACAACCUGAGGAAGAGAAGCAUGUUUUCACUGAAGCAGAAGAUCAGCUAAUAUGGUAAUAAUAGAAUAUAUAUUGGCCAAUUGAGAUGCUUUUUAAUGCAUAUUGAUGUUGAACUUGAAAAUGCUUGUUGGCUAGCACAUAUUCUAGAAGGACUUAGUAGUAGACUAUUCUUUAAUACUAUGUUUCAUCGCCAAUUUUGCAUGUUCGAUGUGGCACACGUGCGGCAUGUUCGAUGUGGCCGCCAAGGCGGAGGUGGCGUUGGUUCAACUUGAUAUUAUGCCAGGCGAGAGACACAUAGAGUUAGGGAACGGCCGAGCUCGCCUCCGAGGAAGAGAGAUGAUUGUCGUCCCUUGGUCGAGGAUGGAGCUGACACGCUGUGACGCCACAGCUAUUGAGGCUAUCCGUCAAGUGUGGCCGGAUUUGGGCAUCUGGUGUUGUCACCUAGGCUGGUGUUUCUCCUCUAUGCACGCUUGCUUUAUCGUUGCCGGAUCAAUGCACUCGAGGAGGCGGCAGUGGAUCCCUAGGUUUUUCGGUUUUUGAAAGAGAAUUUUGUUUUUGCGAUUUUCUACAUGCGUUCCAUCAGCAAUUGAGAAUCAUGUGCAAGCCGUGAGAUUUCGGAACCACUAGAUUGUGACAGUGCAGGAAGUAAAAUAUGCGUCGGAGACGGCUAUGAAGGCAUCAACAUGAACCGGAGGGCCGUGAGGGACAUCAAGAAUAUGAUCAGCAUGUUUGUGAGAUGUUCUUCCAUGUUCAGAUUUUCACAUGACUGAUGCCCAGAGCUAGCAGGUCUCAGGACUGAGCUCGUGCCCAUGCGGCAGAGCAAGGGAUACUUAUGGAACAUAUACGUUGUGCCAAUGCAUCGUUAGGCGAACAUCUUUCUAUUUUGCAGAUGGUUAUACGUUUGAAACAUCAACUGGCCUGUCAAGAAUGUGAGAGGCCCUCGGGAGUGAAAAAACUAUCAUUUGAGAUAGUUGUUGGAUUGAACAGCCGGAGCGUGGUGGCAAGGCAGCUAGAGACAAAAAGGGAAUUGGUGAAAGAGCAACUCGCACAUCUAUAGGUCUCUUGGAAUCUCACAUUUAUCAAUUUAUGGAAAAGGGCAUCCAUUGGCAUUCUAAUAAUUUUGUUAGAGAACGGCAUGGACUGAGGCAGCCGAUGUGAACGAACACCGGGUACCCAUAAACAAGAGGAAAAAACAACACAUGUACAACGACAACAAGGUUAGCUAAGAAAAAAUCAGGCUGCCGGUGUCUAUUAACCUAGGGCAUGAUCUUGGGACGUCCGGCUUCUUUCCAAAGUGAGAUCUCAUCCAACAUCAGGUUGAAGACACUCAAAAUGGUGGAACUUAAGUUGCGGACAAUUCUGGUGUUUCGCUCCUUCCACGUGAACCACCAGAUAGCCUGCACUAAGUAGUUCCAUCCCUUCUUCUUCGGGGCAGCAAGACUGGCAGCGGAACUUUCCACUCAAUCUGAGAGGCGGCUGGUGUCGCUGGAGGGGCCUAAAGUAGCCGAGGUUGCAGGUAGCAGCAUGAGCCGCCAAAUAGCCUGAAAAAUAGGCAUUGAGUGAGCAAAAGAAUGUUGUCUUCAUCCGUUGAGCGACUCAUGUAGUACACCGGAUCAGGGGAGCAGCCCCUUUUCUGCACAUUGUCCCCGGUAUAUGUUGGCUUGGCCUUCUACUGCCCUUUAGUUAUGUUACUGUCUAGAAAUAUUUGUAGUAGUUUUAAGAUUUGAAAGCUCAUUUUUAUUAACUUGCUGUGUGUAUGUGAUUGUGAACUACUUCCAUAUUUUAGAAAUAUUAUAAGGGAAAAGUUUUUGGUCA